GACGAACGCUGGCGGCGUGCCUAAUACAUGCAAGUCGAACGCAGUGGGGACGGGUGAGUAACACGUGGGUAACCUCCCAUCAGAGGGGAUAACACUUGGAAACAGGUGCUAAACCGGUACUGAUGGAUGGACCCGCGGGGGAUUAGCUAGUUGGUGAGGUAACGGCGCACCAAGGCAACGAUGCCUAGCCGACCUGAGAGGGGGAUCGGCCACACUGGGACUGAGACACGGCCCAGACUCCUACGGGAGGCAGCAGGAGGGAAUAUUGCGCAAUGGACGAAAGUCUGACCGAGCAACGCCGCGUGAAUGAAGAAGGUUUUCGGGUUGUAAAAUUCUGUUGGUAGAGAAGCGUUAUCGAAAGAGAAAGCAACGGCUAACUACGUGCCAGCAGCCGCGGUAAUAC
rnacentral:rRNA from 1 species